rnacentral:rRNA from 1 species
ACAACGGAGAGUUUGAUCCUGGCUCAGGAUGAACGCUAGCGGCAGGCUUAACACAUGCAAGUCGAACGGUAACAUUUCUUGCUUGCAAGAAGAUGACGAGUGGCGCACGGGUGCGUAACGCGUAUACAACCUGCCUUCAACAAAGGGAUAGCCCAUGGAAACGUGGAUUAAUACCUUAUAAUAUAUAGAGAUGGCAUCAUCAUUAUAUCAAAGAUUUAUCGGUUGAAGAGGGGUAUGCGUGACAUUAGCUAGUUGGUAAGGUAACGGCUUACCAAGGCAACGAUGUCUAGGGGUUCUGAGAGGAUGAUCCCCCACACUGGUACUGAGACACGGACCAGACUCCUACGGGAGGCAGCAGUGAGGAAUAUUGCGCAAUGGAGGGAACUCUGACGCAGCCAUGCCGCGUGAAGGAAUGAAUGCCCUAUGGGUUGUAAACUUCUUUUAUGUAGGAAGAAACGCAGAUACGUGUAUCUGUUUGACGGUACUACACGAAUAAGGACCGGCUAACUCCGUGCCAGCAGCCGCGGUAAUACGGAGGGUCCAAGCGUUAUCCGGAUUCAUUGGGUUUAAAGGGUACGUAGGCGGAUAAAUAAGUCAGUGGUGAAAGCCCGAAGCUCAACUUCGGAACUGCCAUUGAUACUGUUUAUCUUGAAUUUGGUUGAAGUGGGCGGAAUAUGACAUGUAGCGGUGAAAUGCAUAGAUAUGUCAUGGAACACCAAUAGUGAAGACAGCUCACUAAGCCAAUAUUGACGCUGAGGUACGAAAGCAUGGGUAGCGAACAGGAUUAGAUACCCUGGUAGUCCAUGCCGUAAACGAUGAUUACUAGCUAUUAGCGAUAAACUGUUAGUGGCAAAGCGAAAGCAUUAAGUAAUCCACCUGGGAAGUACGGUCGCAAGAUUGAAACUCAAAGGAAUUGACGGGGGCCCGCACAAGCGGUGGAGCAUGUGGUUUAAUUCGAUGAUACGCGAGGAACCUUACCAGGGCUUAAAUGAAGAUUGACAGGACUGGAAACAGUUUUUUCUUCGGACAAUUUUCAAGGUGCUGCAUGGUUGUCGUCAGCUCGUGCUGUGAAGUGUCGGGUUAAGUCCCAUAACGAGCGCAACCCCUAUCUUUAGUUGCCAGCGAGUAAUGUCGGGGACUCUAGAGAAACUGCCCGUGCAAACGGAGAGGAAGGUGGGGAUGACGUCAAAUCAUCACGGCCCUUACGUCCUGGGCUACACACGUGCUACAAUGGCAGGUACAGAGGGCAGCUACUCCGCGAGGAGAUGCGAAUCUCAAAAGCCUGUCUCAGUUCGGAUUGGAGUCUGCAACUCGACUCCAUGAAGCUGGAAUCGCUAGUAAUCGCGCAUCAGCCAUGGCGCGGUGAAUACGUUCCCGGGCCUUGUACACACCGCCCGUCAAGCCAUGGAAGCUGGGGGUGCCUGAAGUCGGUGACCGCAAGGAGCUGCCUAGGGUAAAACUAGUAACUGGGGCUAAGUCGUAACAAGGUAGCCGUACCGGAAGGUGUGGCUGGAACACCUCCUUU